UUGCGACUUCGCUGAGCAAAGAAUGCCAUCAUGGAUAGGCAAUCUUACAAAGUUGACUUCUUUGGUCAUUGGUGGUUGCAGUUUAUCUGGGCCAAUACCCUCAACAAUUGGGAACCUGAUCCAACUUGAAGAGUUGAAGUUCUCCUAUACUGACAUCAGCGGUGAGACUAUGUCCCAGUUACUUUCUUUCUAGAUACCUCAUUUUAUUUUGCAACUGUAGACAGACGCUUUAAUUUCUUUAAUUCGCUCUUGCUCCUCAUACUCGAACUAGGAAGCAGGGGAUACCUACUAUAUGACACGUCAUGCAUACACUGUUAAAAAAAAUAAUGAAUUUAAGUGAAGAAGAAAAUUUAACACUACCAAAUCAAUAGAGUGACCUUCAGAAAAAAAGAAAAAGGCUUUGGCUAGUAAUUUUCGGCGCUGUUGAGAAAAGAAAAACCCUGAUAUUUUCACUUUGAGUCUAUGACCAAAUUUUCAUAGUUUCACAGUUUGGAAGGUUAGAUGCCUUUAACACUAGUACACACGAGUCACGACUCAGGUCUUCUUUUCCUUCUUUUUUUUCUCUCUUGACAUGAUUCAUUUCAGAUACCAUAAUACAGUAUUGGUCCAUUUAUAAAUAUACCAAGGAAUAUUAAUUUUUUCGGACAGGCCUUUUUUAUUAUUUUGAUCAGAUUUACAUGUAAAUGUUCUCUAACAAGAAAUCAACUUUAGUAUAUAUCAUUUGUAGAUCGAAACACUGGAUCUGUAAAAUAUAUAUUGAAUAUGUUGUGUUAACGUUGUUCAACUUUCUCCGGUCUAAGGCCUCUUUGAAACAAAGGAACAACAAAAGAACUAUUGAAAAACCUGAGCGUGGUCUCUCUCUCCCUCUCUUUCUCUCUCAAACCUGAGCGUGGUCUGGAUUUUCUACUGAUUUGUGAAGGAAGAGGACCCUUUCUUUCUUGUGGAAUUGGAAUUGGAUGGUGCAUUCCCAAAUUCCAAAAUCCAAACGGUACUUUCCUUUCCUCCGGAACGCAGUUACUUUAGUGUCCUUGCCCCCUGUCAGUUUCGUCGCUUUUUUAGGCUAGUCUCAAUGCACAACUUCAUUGCAUUGUUACCAAAACUGCAAACUUGGUAACUGUGCCUGUUGGAUUUCAUGGGAAUGAAACUCCUCUCCCAUUUCAUGAAACUCCAUCCUCUCUCCUCAUAAAGACUUUGCCAAAUCAGCAAAAUUGCUGAUGUGGUAUAGAAAUUAAUGCUGAUGAAACUUUUUAUAAAACUUUCACUGAGACUAGCCUUAGAUUGCAGCAACAUUCGGAUAUGUUUAGCUCCAAUGUAAUGAGAUGCUAAUUUGGUUCAAUUUCAUACUAGCACUUUCAGUGUGAAAAAACAUUAAUAAAGUCUGCAACAUUCUGACUGUUGGUAUUCUACCCUAACAUGCAGGAAAAAUUCCGAAGUCUUUGUUCACUCUUCCAGGCCUGCAGCAUCUUCAUCUAAUUAAGAAUCAGCUUGUUGGCUCACUAGAAGACAUUCCUGCUCCUUUAUCGUCACCAUUGCGGGAGAUUGAUUUAGGAGGUAAUCAAUUGACAGGCCCAAUACCAAAAUCACUUUUUCAGCUCACGAAUCUUGAGCGUCUCAGUCUUGAAUCGAAUAAAUUGACAGGCACAAUAGAACUUGGCUCUAUAUGGAGGUUGAAAAAUCUCACUUAUCUUAACCUGGGUAACAAUUUGAUAUCACUCGUAGAAAAAGAAGGUGAUAUGAUAUUCUCUUAUUCCCUUAAAAUCCAAGAGUUAUACCUUCCAUCUUGCAACCUUACAAAAUUUCCGGAAUCAUUAAAAUAUCUUGACACUAUUCAAGUUCUCGACCUUUCUAAUAACCAAAUCGAAGGGGCCAUACCUAGUUGGGUGUGGGAGAAUCCCCUUGUUGAGUUGGAGCUCUCACGCAACAUGUUUACUACUUUAGAGAAGUCUCCUGCUGUUCAGAUGACACAUUUAGUUUUUCUUAAUCUCAGUGUUAAUAGAAUUCAAGGAAGCAUACCAAUACCAUCAACUCCAUCCGACCUGGUUCUGUUGGAUUACUCAAAUAAUGAUUUCUCUACCAUUGAACCUAACUUUGGCAGGUAUCUUAGAAAUGCCAUCUACAUCAAUUUGUCAAAAAAUAAAUUAAGUGGCCAUGUACCACUUUCAUUUUGUAGUUUAAGCCAACUUGAGCUCAUGGACUUAUCUUACAAUAACUUUAGUGGACCAAUUCCAUCAUGUCUUAUGGAAAGAGUUGACCUGAGCAUAUUGAAGUUAAGAGGAAACAAAUUACAUGGCGUGCUACCUGAAAAUAUUAGAGAAGGAUGUAAGCUUCAGACAAUUGAUUUCAAUGAAAAUCAAAUUGAAGGUGCGCUACCUAGAUCACUAGCAAAUUGCCAAGACUUAGAGGUUCUUGAUGUUGGCAGUAAUCAUAUUGUAGAUUCAUUUCCAUCAUGGAUGGGUACUCUUCCAAAGCUUCGAAUUCUUGUGUUGAGAUCUAACCAACUGUAUGGCACUAUAAGGGAUCUUCGCAGUGGCUACCAACACUUCACAAGUUUGCAAAUAGUUGAUUUGGCCUCCAACCAUUUCUCUGGUGUCUUACAUUCUGAAUGGUUUGAGAAUUUUAUUUCAAUGAUGAAUAACAACAAUGAUGAGGGGCAGAUAUUAGAGCACGAAACAAAUGCAUCACGGGCACCAUUGUAUCAAGAUACUGUCACUAUCACAUUCAAAGAUGCUGAUUUAAGCAUCACCAAAAUCCUUACUACUUUCAAAGUAAUUGAUUUGUCAAAUAACUCAUUUGAGGGUUCCAUUCCAAGUUCAAUUGGAAGGCUUGCUUCACUUCACGGACUUAACAUGUCGCACAAUAACUUCACGGGAGAAAUUCCAUCACAACUUGGGAGGUUAACAAGGUUGGAAUCAAUAGAUCUCUCUUGCAACAAUCUCUCGGGAGAAAUUCCACAGGAGUUUACCUCCCUAACUUCUCUUUCCUGGUUGAACCUUUCGUAUAACAACUUGACGGGAAGAAUACCGCAGGGAAACCAAUUCUUGUCAUUUCCCAGCAGUUCGUUUGAAGGCAAUGCUGGUCUAUGUGGAAUUCAGCUUUCCAAGGAAUGUGACACUCGUCCAGAUUCAACCACCCCAAGCACAUUGGCUCCACAACGCAAUACUUUGUGGCAGGAUAGACUUGAUGCCAUCAUUUUGUUCCUCUGUGCUGGCUUGGGCUUUGGCGUGGGUUUUGCAUUGGCAAUCAUAUUCGGUCCCUUUUACCACAUAGAAGAAUGGCUUUGCAAGCAUUUGUAAUAGUAAUAUAAGUUUUCAACAAGAAUAAUUAUGUAUGUUUGUCUUGUUCUCGUUAUUAGAUGAGACAUUUUAAAUCCACUCAGUUGUAAUUACGUUGUAACUAGUCCAUCAACCCGUACUUCCACAUGAGCUAGUAUUUUCAAAAGCUGUUGUAUUUGAAAAUUAUUUAGAAAUUAAACACCUUGCUAAUAAUCAAAAUUAUUUACUUAUUACUCUCUCAUUUUUCAACACUUCAACGUAGUACUCAAAUAGAUGUGUACUUAUUUUUAUCCAGUUGUGAUUGAUUUUUAAUUAGUAAUUACUCUAUACACUUUUUCAUCCACAUUCACACUUUUUUAUUUUAUAUCACACCUCCAUAAAUUGUGUUUAGCAUCAAAAUUAAUAUUUUUCAUCACUUCCUCACAUACAUGUAUAAAUGGUCUACAUGGUGUCAUUCAUCAUGUCUAUAUACCUUAAUUUAAUAUUUCUAUAUUAACAAUGACAUAAACUGGUAAUUUAAAAUCAUAUAUUAGUUUAUUUUUGGAUAUUUCUGUAUGAUGCACAUGCAUGAAGAUAAUUAAAUUAAGAAUUAUCUGUUUACUUUAGAUUAUUUUUAAAAACGACGUACAUGGGUAACUUAGAUACAAAUUUAGAAUGACAUUUUAAGUUAUGCUUUAUAACGAUAGUCAUGAUUAAAUUGGAUGAAGAUUAUGGGUUACUUUACAUUAUCUUUUAUAAUGGCAGGUAAAUUAGAUAUAGGUUUAGGGUUUAUAAUGAUAGUGGUGGGUAAGUUUUUAGAAAAUAUAAUAGACCAAUGACUAUGAUUAAUAUAGUUUGCAUGAUUGAUAUUUGAUAUUUAUGAUUAUUGUGAGAAUUUCUAGGAUUUGUGUUUUUUAGCGUAUCUCUUGAGAACUAAUGCAGAGUCUCCAAUGAAAAAAAAAUAAGGCCACAUCGCUAAAAAAAUUACCUUGAGCUAUUUCUCAUUUAUUAAAUAUUGAAACACAAUAGUUAUAUAGAUAUAUAAUUAUGAUCGAUAGAUUUUAAUUGGUAAUUUCUCUUCAACAUUUUCAUCCACAUUUGUAUUGAAGAUAUGCGCUUGAAUUUGUUUAAUGGAUCUUAAGUUUGAGCUAUCAUUUUAACAUAGAAAUUUGUAUUUCCAUCACUUUCUCUAUAUCUUUAUGAAUGGUGACACACAUCAUGCCUAUAUACCUUAAUUAUUAUAUCGUAUACCUACAGCGUAAGAAAUAGACGAUUUAAUAUCGUAUUUUGAUGUAUAUUUUUAUUUAAGGUGAUUUGGAUUCAAAUGUAGUUUACCUCAUGUUAUUUCUAAAUAGCAUAUGUGGGUAAUAAAGAUGCAAAUUUAAGGGGUCAUGUUAACUUAUUUUUUAAGUAUUAGUGGUGGGAUAUUUAGUUGCAAAUUUAGGGGGUUAUUUUAAAUGUUAUUUAUAAUGGUAUAAGUGGGUAACUUUGAUAAAGAUUAGGUGGUUACUUUAGUUUAGUUUAUAUAAUGGUAGAGGUGGGUAAUUUAGAUAUAGACUAGCAAAAUAUCGUGCGUUGCUACGGUAAAAGAUCAAUUCUAAUGAUAUUUUUUAUUUCCAUCACUAAAUUUUUAUUCCACUUAUUGGACGUCUACACAUUUAAUAGAAAACUAAAAGAAUUUUGACUUAAUUAUUUCCUUCAACUCAAAUACCCAUUACAUUAAAAUAUUUUUUAUUCAAGCAAGAGAGUUAAAUCAGCCUCAUAUGGCCACCGAUGGGGCUCUUUAGUCCUUCUAGCCAUGUAAUAUCUUUUCACAUGUAUUUCAUCAAACAGGAGACGGCACGCUCAAACUUUUCCAUCAUGCACAUCCCGUUGUAGGUACGGUGGCUUAGGUUACACCUUAUUUGGAUGGGCUAUAACUACCUUUUAAAUGGUUAAUUAGGGGGUGUUUAGUAGCACUCAACUUCAAUUUUUUUAGCUCCACUCUACCAACUCCACUCCAGUUUAAUUUUUUUAGCUCCACUCCACUUCAACUCCACUCUACCAACUUGAGAAAAAUAAUAAAGUUGUCUACGUACUUGGCAGAAACAUGCCGUGCCCCCCCCCCCCCCCCCCCCCCCGCAAUAGCAAACCAACAGGCUGCCUUCUUCACCGGUCAAGCAAGCUGCUUGCUCCUCUCUCAAAUCCGAACAACAGUGCAACGCCCGAACAACAGUGCAACGACGGGCGGAGAGCCUGGCGCGAGCGGAGCAGCAGCCUAACCCUGGCCAUGACCUCCACCCCGACGAUCCAAGCAGCAGCAGCGUGGCCCCUGCUCCGGCCCCGACCCCAGCGAGGUGACCCAACCGUGGAGGGCAGGGGCGGCGCGGCCACGGUGGGACCUCCCCUGGUCGCCUCGGCGGGCAAGAGGAUCCUGAAGCCCUAAAACGUGCCGAAAGCAGUUACCUGAGACACUGUUACAGUAACCUUUGGGGGUGGAGCAUCACAGCAAUACAGCACAGAGUAAAAUCUCUGAGGAUUCCAUGCUUUUUGCGACAGCAACUCUCGUUAGUACGUACAGGCAAGUGAUGCAAAACAUGGCAUAACUACAUCUAAAGCAUUAUCUGCUCUUUACAUGCUGAUUUUAACUCUGUACAGCAAGGAAACGGGAGCAUUUUUUUCCCCUGAAAAUCUGUAUAGUUCUGAAGUGUUGUACAUCUUCGUAAAAGAUUAAUUGAAAAAUGAUAUAGCACAACAUACAACCACACUUGCUAAUUCAAACGACACGAAGCAACACCUCAUAUAGAUCCAAUUCCAACAAAUAUAAGCAGAACAUAUGUCCCAUUUUCCAUCAAACAAGUUUUGUACAAAAGUUCUAUAAGCGGAUUAGCACCACCUCAUAUCUUUUUUACAGUAUACAACCAUAAGAAAAAUAGAAAAAUAAGAGUCGCCAGAUUUCUGUGGCAUGCGAGUGCGAUAGGGUAGCUGAGGUCACCUAUACGAGGGGCGAUAGGGGGAUCUGCUACGGAUGGGGCUUGGACUUCGGUCCCUGCAGCCCCUCCGGCCGCGGUACCGCGCGGGGGGUGGCGACCGCGACAGGUCGCGCGGCAUCGCGCGCGACGAGAUCUAGAGCCUCCGCGGAGCCCGGAACCCCACGGAUCUGGCCGAGACCCGACGAUCGGAGAGGCACGGUGGUUGAAAGGAGGUCAGUGAAGGGGGGUUGAAGAUGCCGGUAGCUCAGCACAGUGGCACAACUGAGCAUUCCUUUCCUCAAUCUCCCGAUUCAUGUCAUCCCACUUCUGAUCUAGUUCCUCGAGCUUGGCCAGUAUCACAGCACACAUCUCCUCCGUCAUGUUCACUCGUGUUCCGAUGCGGUGGUAGUGGUGGUUUUUUGAUCGAAAUAGUUGUGAACCAAAUGUCACACCCUAGAUGCAACUCACAGAACAAAUUAUCCCCCAACGAUGAACUACGGAAUAUAUAUAUGAAGUAUACUAGAAUUUGGAUACACAUGGAUGAGGAACUCGCUAGUGUUCUCGAGCCGAAGCUUGCCACCGCAGAGCCAAUGAGUCCCAAAUCCAGUUCUUCUUUCCCUCACGACGACUUUUUAAUCCUCUUACAUGCUGCGCCAGCUAUGCUGCAGCGAUGCCCGUUCAUGGGCCUAUCUUAACUACCUUAGCCAUUCGGGCCCAACAAGGAUAAUGUUGGGCUUCCGUACCUGAUGGCCCACAACUUCGGCUUUACUGCACUUUAGAUAAAUAUCAUGUACGGUUCACUAGAGAAGCCUCCACCAGUGAUAGUUGCUAGUUAGUACAGGUCUUAUCUACAACCUUGCAUUAGCUAUCUCACUCUAGUUUGGCUAGCUGUCUGCUUACUCGAAGCUUGAGGCAUGUUUCUUUAAUAUAGUUUUCUUUUCUUCUUGGAUGUUUAUAGCACAUACGUGAUCUUUUGAAGUACUGCUAUAGAGAGGAAGACAAGUUCUUCUCAUUUAACAUCUUUUUUUUUUCAAUUUAUUUUUGUUAAACUUUUAGAUCAAUCGUUUGAAUUCUCCUCAAUAUUUGCUUGCUUCAUGUUCUCUUUGUUUUUGUGCAACAGUAUGAUCUUGGAAUAGGAAUGCUGCAAGACAAUUCAAAUAGAAGGUUAGUUUCAUCAUAUUAUAUGGUUAAAAUUACUUUAAAAUUAUAUGGUUAAAAUUACUUUGUAAUGGUUGACUGUCACUGUUGUUUGCAUUGGCAGAUCAUGGAUGGAAUUCCUGCAAGAGCCAAGCACAAACUGUUGUCAGCGCUUCUCUGUUGAUGUUUCGUUUCUCGUUACCACCUUUCUUGCAGACCGGUUAGGGUUAGGUUACACCAUCUGCUUCAGGUGAUUUCGGGAAUGUGGAAUGUUUCCUCUUCAUUUGAGAAGAAAGAGAGAGUGUUUUGUUCGAAUAUUACAGGUGCGUAUGUUUAUGCAUGGCUUUUCAGGGCUCAAAUCAAGGGGAAAAAAUAGACUAAUGGGCUGGUAAAUUUAUGUUCUGGUAAAAAUAGACUAAUGGCUUUAUUUAGUUCCAAGAAUCCUGGUGAACUCCGGAACUUAAAAUGAAAUCCUAAAAUUGUUUCUCUAACCUCCUAUCUCAAUAUGGGCUGUUCUUUUUUUUUUUCUUUCUGGUCAACUAUUUCCCCCAACUUACGGACCCAUCUCGGCCUGCAGGCCUGCCGAGGCCUCUUCUCUCCUUUCGUCGUUCGGUCCCUCUAAUUUCGCUCUUGUGCUUGCGCACCAGGCGCCAUCUCUCACCGCGCCAGGAGCUUUGCAGCGCCAGACGGCCCCGCUCCACACCACAAUAUUCUUCCUUGGAACCUGCGGGCUCCGCUGAGCCGCUGCGUGAUCUUCUAUUCGCGACUCUGUGUACCUCGCCGUGUUACAAUUGCCUUCACUUUACUUCAUCAUUGCUCUCUAACCUAGGUACUCGGUUAUGAACAGCGCGCCGGCUAAGCGAGUACCCGGUGAAGGCGAGCGCAACGAGCCCUAGCACAUGGCAUCCAUCGAAAACUACAUAAUUUUCAGAGUAUGGAAUUUUCAGUCCGCGGUGUGGCCAACAUUAUCUUUAUAUGAUUAUAUUUGCAAACAGAGUUUUUAAGUAACAACGCAAAUAAAACACUCUCGUGUCAUUGCUCUAAAGGGGGAGAAAGGAAUAACAGAAACAACACCGUGCCAUUCCCCAGAAACAAAGAACAACGGUAAAAGUGGUUCUAGAUGAAGCUUAAAUUGACCAUCGAUGGCGAUUGUAUCGACACGGCAAACAUCCAGACAGCUAGCAUUGACUGACUUGGCCUAUUGAGUACUCCGCGGAACUCGGUACGUCUUAUGACAAGUCUCGUUUGACUCGAAUUAUUGACCUUCACUGUCCUUCGUCAUUGCUCUCUAACCUAGGUACUCGGUUAUGAACAACGUGCCGGCUAAGUGAGUACUCGGUGAAGGCGAGCCCAACUUGCCCCAGCACAUCGCAUCCAUCGAAAAUACAGAAUUUCCAAAGUAUGGAAUUUUCAGUGUGCGUUGUGGCCAACACUAUCUUUAUAUGUUUUAUUUGCAAACCGAGUUUUUAAGUAACAACGCAAAUAAAACACUCUCGUAUCAUUGCUCUAAAGGGGGAGUAAGGAAUAACAGAAAUAACGUCGUGCCAUUCCCCGGAAACAAAGAACAACCGUAAAAAUUGGUUCUAGAUGAAGCUAAAUUGAUCAUCGAUGGCGAUUGUAUCGACACGGCAAACAUCCAGACAGCUAGCAUUGACUGACUUGGCUGAUACAUCCACUUCACUGUUGAGUACUCCAGGGAACUCGACAGGUCUUAUGACAAGUCUCGGUUGACUCGAAUUGUUGACCUUAGGACAGUGACCUUGAUUUCCUCAUCCCCUUUCCUAUUGUCUUGCGGUCCUGAUGCCCAUUACCCAGUGCCUACCAGUGUGUGCUUCUCCCUCCGAUUGUACAUACGUGCGGGUCCCACAUGUCAGCCCCUUCCAUCCUCUUUACUUUAUAAUCUCCAAAGCAUGGGCCGCCCUUCUUUGUUACCUGUAUGGCUGUAUCACCUCCCCUGCCGAUGAGUGCCCAUGCAUGCUGAUACUUUGGUACCAUCUGCUCCAACCAAGCACCACCUCUCAUGCAAGUCAACAUAGAUGGUAUUUGGUGUCAAUUCACUGGUUAUAUUUUUAAAUGAAUUUAAUAUAAAUUUUGAUUAUCUAUUGCUUCUAAAUUCCUGUCGAAAUUAAUUUGAUAAUUUUUUAACCUAUAAUAUCCUAUACUUCAUUUUAUGAGGAAACUAUCAGAAAAUGAAUUGUAAUUUUUAUGACUCAUAUCUAUUUCCUCUCUUUAUUAGAUAUUUUGCUUUCCAAUUGUAUGUAAUCAAACUUUUAUUUAUUUUUAUCAUUCGGAGUUUUAGUUUUUUAUUACUUCCAUGUCAAGAUGAUAUUCUGGACAAGAUUCCAAUCAACCUUUUGAAAAUCUAACCACUAUUGACAGCUUUUAGAAUAUUCAGUUUGAAAAUUUAGAAUACUCAUUGAAAGACAUAAUAUAAUAUUUUGUAUGUUUAUAUAAUAUCUUCUUACUGAAAAUAGUGGCCACACAGCUAUGUUAUCCAAAACACCACCUUUUCUUUAAGAACGGGGGAACGAUUGUUUUUUUUCUAUUUUAUUAAUAUGAUAUUUUAUAGUCAAUCCGGAGACUUGUUUUCUCUUAGCUUUGCCUUAUUAAAAUAACAAUUGAAGAUUCCGUAAUGUGUGGUUCAGAUAUUUACUUCCAUGCGAGUUUAUAUUUUGGCUCCAGUUCGCUGGUCUUCCUCUCGAGUCAGCGACCGGAACGAGAGAACAGAAUAUCUACACACGAUUGAUUGGAAUUUGGAAACUGCAAACCAGUAGCGCAAUGGCUCCUGCCAUGGAUCGCCUCCACAACCUUCUGGUCCUGCUCUUGUUCAUAGGUUGCCUCUUCAUAGAUGCUGCCGCCAAGCUUAACACCACAGCGCCUUGCCUCCCGGAUCAAGCUUCUUCCCUCCUCCGGCUAAAAGCUUCCUUCAUCGGUGACAACCUACCAUCAUGGCAAGCUGCAACAGAUUGUUGCCACUGGGAGGGCGUCACCUGCGACAUGGCCUUUGGAAGAGUCAUUUCUCUUGACCUCAGUGAGUUCCACCACCUAAUGAGCAGUCGUCUUGAUCCUGCGCUCUUCAACCUCACCUCUCUCAGGAACCUCAGCCUUGCAUCUGUUGACUUCAGAGGAGUCUCGCUCCCGGCUUUUGGGUUUGAGCGGCUCACGGAUAUCAUUUACCUCAACCUCUCUGAUACCGGUUUUAUGGGUAAGAUCCCAAUUGGAAUUGCGUGCCUCAAGAACCUUGUGACCAUUGACUUGUCUUAUAAUUACGAAUUGUAUUUUGAACGGCCAAGUUUCCAAACCAUCAUGGCAAAUAUGAGCAAUCUGAGGGAGCUUUAUCUUGAUGAAGUGGGUUUACAGAACAUCGGAUCGGAUUGGUCCACUGUUUUAGCAGACUCCGUUCCCCAGCUACAGAUUCUUAGCUUGCCCUGGUGUGGUUUAUCAGGUUCUAUCCACCCUUCAUUCUCAAGGCUUCGCUCACUUACGGUGAUCAACCUCAGAUACAAUGAUGGACUCACCGGCAAAGUCCCGGAGUACUUUUCUGAACUAUCUUCCUUGACCAUUUUAGACAUAUCAGGAAGUCAAUUUGAAGGGCAAUUUCCAACAAAAAUAUUCCAGCUAAAAAGUUUGAGGACGCUUGAUUUGUCCUGGAACCCCAUGCUUUCUGUGAGAUUAACAUAUUUCCCAGCUGGAAACAAUUUGGAAGUACUAAAUCUAGAAGGGACCAAUUUGUCUUAUGACACGCCAUUGGGGCAAUCUCGAGUCUUUAAAGACAUUGGGGCUUAGCACGAUGGGAAUUGAUAAUGAACUCUUCUCUUUGAUAUCUGAGCUUCCAGCAUUGGAUUACCUGCGACUCACUGGAUCAGAUUUGGAGAACCCGGUAUUAUCUUGGGUCAGCAAUCUUACCCAAUUGACAAACCUGGUGCUUGAAGGUUAUGACUUCUCAAACUCGGUUCCCACUUGGAUCGGCAAAUUGACAAGGCUGGAAAUUUUGACAAUAUGGGAUUGCAGUUUCUCCGUGCCAAUACUGUACCAGAUUAGAAAUCUUACUAAAUUGGCAGCGCUGGAGUUCACUGGUUGCGACUUAUCUGAGCAAACAAUGCCAUCAUGGAUAGGCAAUCUUACAAAGUUGACUUCUUUGACCAUUGAAGAUUGCAGUUUAUCUGGGCCAAUACCCUCUACAAUUGGAAACCUGAUCCAACUUGAAGAGUUGGUGUUCUGGGAUACUAACAUCAGCGGUGAGACUAUGUCCCUGUUACUUUCUUUCUAGAUACCUCCUUUUAUUUUGCAACUGUAGACAGAUCAUACACCUACUAUAUGACACGCCAUGCAUACACCGUUAAAAAAAUAAUAAUGAAUUUAAGUGAAGAAGAAAAUUUAACACUACCAAAUCGACAGAGUGAUCUUCAGAAAACAAGAAAAAGGCUUUGGCUAGUAAUUUUCGGCAAUGUUGAGAAAAGAAAAACACUGAUAUUUUCACUUUGAGUCUAUGACCAAUUUCCAUAGUUUAGUAGUUUGGAAGGUUAGAUGCCUUUAACACUAGUACACACGAGUCACGACUCAGGUCCUCUUUUCCUUCUUUUUUCUGUAAAUAUAGUAUUGGUCCAUUUACAAAUAUACCAAGGAAUAUUAAUUUUUUUGGACAGGCCUUUUUUUAUUAUUUUGACCAGAUUUACAUGUAAAUGUUCUCUAACGAUAAAUCAACUUUAGAAUAUAUCAUUUGUAGAUCGAAACACUGGAUCUGUUAAAAUAUAUAUUGAAUAUGUUGUGUUAAAAUUGUUCGGCUUUCCCUGGUCUAAGGCCUCUUUGAAACAAAGGAACAACAAAAGGAAGGACUAGGUUUUUUGAGCAUGGUCUCUCUCCCUCUCUCUCUCUCAAACCUGAGCGUGGUCUGGAUUUUCUACUUGUUAUGAUUUGUGAAGGAAGAGGACCCUUUCUUGUGGAAUUGGAAUUGGAGGGUGCAUUCCAAAAUUCCAAAAUUCAAACGGUUCUUUCCUUUCCUCCAGAACGCAGUUACUUUUGUGUCCUUACCCCCUCAGUGUCGUGGCUUCUUUAGGCCAGUCUCAAUGCACAAUUUCAUUGCAAUGUUACAAAAAUUGCAAAUUUGGUAACUGUGCAGGUAGGGUUUCAUGAGGAUGAAACUCCUCUCUCAUUUCAUGAAACUCCAUCCUCUCUCUCCUCAUAAAGACCUUGACAAAUCAGCAAAAUUGCUGAUGUGGUAUAGAAAUUAAUGCUGACGAAACUUUUUAUAACACUUCCACUAAGACUGGCCUUAGAUUGCAGCAACAUUCGGAUAUGUCUAGCUCCAAUGUAAUGAGAUGCUAAUUUGUUUCAAUUUCAUACUAGCGCUUUUAGUGUGAAGAAGCAUUAAUAAAGUCUACAACAUUCUAACUGUUGGUAUUCUACCCUAACAUGCAGGAAAAAUUCCGAAGUCUUUGUUCGCUCUUCCAGUCCUGCAGCAGCUUCAUCUAGUUAGGAAUCAGCUUGUUGGCCCACUAGAAGACAUUCCUGCUCUUUUAUCGUCACCAAUGCGGGAGAUCGAUUUAGGAGGUAAUCAAUUGACAGGCCCAAUACCAAAAUCACUUUUUCAGCUCACGAAUCUUGAGCGUCUUCUUCUAGCUGAGAAUCAGCUUGUUGGUUCACUAGAAGACAUUCCUGCUCCUUUAUCAUCACCAUUGCGGGAGAUCGAUUUACAAGGUAAUCAAUUGACAGGUCCAAUACCAAAAUCACUUUUUCAGCUCACGAAUCUUGAGUAUCUCAAUCUUGGCUCGAAUAAAUUGACAGGCACAAUAGAACUUGGCUCUAUACGGAGGUUGAAAAAUCUCAUUAUUCUCGACCUGGGUAACAAUAUGAUAUCACUCGUAGAAAAAGAAGGUGAUACGAUAUUCUCUUAUUCCCUUAAAAUCCAGACCUUAUACCUUGCAUCUUGCAACCUUACAAAAUUUCCGGAACCAUUAAAAUAUCUUGACACUAUUCAAUAUCUCGACCUUUCCAAUAACCAAAUCGAAGGGGCCAUACCAAGUUGGGUGUGGGAGAAACCACUGCUUCAGUUGAACCUCUCACACAACAUGUUUACUACUUUAGAGAAGUCUCCUACUGUUCAGAUGACACAUUUAAAUUCUCUUGAUCUCAGUUCUAAUAGAAUUCAAGGAAGCAUACCAAUACCAUCAACUCCAUCCGACCUGAUUCUGUUGGAUUACUCAAAUAAUAACUUCUCUACCAUUGAACCGAACUUUGGCAGGUAUCUUACAAAUGCCCACUACAUCAAUUUGUCAAAAAAUAAAUUAAGUGGCCAUGUACCACUUUCAUUUUGUAGUUUAAGCCAACUUGAGCACAUGGACUUAUCUUACAAUAACUUUAGUGGACCAAUUCCAUCAUGUCUUAUGGAAAGAGUUGACCCGAGCAUACUGAAGUUAAGAGGAAACAAAUUACAUGGCGUGCUACCUGAAAAUAUUAGAGAAGGAUGUAAGCUUCAGACAAUUGAUUUCAAUGAAAAUCAAAUUGAAGGUGCGCUACCUAGAUCACUAGCAAAAUGCCAAGACUUAGAGGUUCUUGAUGUUGGCAGUAAUCAUAUUGUAGAUUCAUUUCCAUCAUGGAUGGGUACUCUUCCAAAUCUUCGAAUUCUUGUGUUGAGAUCUAACAAACUCUAUGGCACUAUAAGGGAUCUUCGCAGGGGCUACCAACACUUCACAAGUUUGCAAAUAGUUGAUUUGGCCUCCAACCAUUUCUCUGGUGACUUACAUUCCGAAUGGUUUGAGAAUUUUAUUUCAAUGAUGAAUAACAGCAAUGAUGAGGGGCAGAUAUUAGAGCACCAUCCAACUGGACCAAUGACACGAUUGUAUCAAGAUACUGUCACUAUCACCUUCAAAGAUGCUGCUUUAAGCAUCACCAAAAUCCUUCGUGCUUUCAAAGUAAUUGAUUUGUCAAAUAACUCAUUUGAGGGUUCCAUUCCAAGUUCAAUUGGAAGACUUGCUUCACUUCACGGACUUAACAUGUCGCACAAUAACUUCACGGGAGAAAUUCCAUCACAACUUGGGAAGUUAACAAGGUUGGAAUCAAUGGAUCUCUCUUGCAACCAUCUCUCGGGAGAAAUUCCACAGGAGUUUACCUCUCUAACUUCUCUUUCCGUGUUGAACCUUUCGUACAACAACUUGACAGGAAGAAUACCGCAGGGAAACCAAAUCUUGUCAUUUCCCAGCAGUUCGUUUGAAGGCAAUGCUGGCCUAUGUGGAAUUCAGCUUUCCAAGGAAUGUGACCCUCGUCCAGAUUCAACCACCCCAAGCACAUUGGCUCCAGAACACAAUGCUUUGUGGCAGGAUAGACUUGAUGCCAUCAUGUUGUUCCUCUGUGCUGGCUUGGGCUUUGGCGUGGGUUUUGCAUUGGCAAUCAUAUGCGGUCCCUUUUACCACAUAGAAGAAUGGCUUUGCAAGCAUUUGUAUUAGUAAUAUAAGUUUUCAACAAGAAUAAUUAUGUAUGUUUGUGCUGUACUCGUUAUUAGAUGAGACAUCUUAAAUCCACUCAGUUGUAAUUACGUUGUAACUAGUCCAUCAACCCGUACUUCCGCAUGGGCAAAUAUUUUUAAAAGCUGUUGUAUUUGAAAAUUAUUUAGAAAUUAAACUCCUAGCUAAUAAUCAAAAUUGUUUACUUAUUACUCUCACAUUUUUUCAAUACUUCAACAUAGUACUCAUAUAGAUGUGUACUCAUCUUUGUCUAGUUGUGAUUGAUUUUUAAUUAGUAAUUACUCUAUACACUUUUUCAUCCACAUUCACACCUUUCCAUUUUUUAUUGCACCUCCGUACAUUGUGUUUAGCAUCAAAAUUAAUAUUUUUCAUCACUUUAUCACAUACAUGUAUAAAUGGUCUACAUGGUAACACUCAUCAUGUCUAUAUACCUUAACUUAGUAUUUCUAUAUUAACAAUGACAUAAACUAGUAAUUUAGAAUCAUAUAUUAGUUUGUUUUUAGACAUUUCUAUAUGAUGCAUAUGCAUGAAGAUAAUUAGAUUAAGAAUUAGGUGUUUACUUUAGAUUAUUUUUAAAAAUGACAUACAUGAGUAACUUAGAUACAAAUUUAGAAUGGCAUUUUAAGUUAUGCUUUAUAAUUGUAGGCAUGGGUAAAUUGGAUGAAGAUUAUGGGGUUACUUUACAUUAUUUUUUUAUAAUGGUAGGGCUUGGUAAUUUAGAUAUAGGUUUGGGGUUUACAAUGACAGUGGUGGGUAACUUUUUAGAAAAUAUAAUAGACCAAUGACUAUGAUUAAUAUAGUUUGCAUGAUUGAUAUUUGAUAUUUAUGAUUUUUGUGAGAAGUAAUUGUGUUUUUUUAGCAUAUCUCUUAAGAACCAAUGCAGAGUCUCCAAUGGAAAAAAAUGAGGCCACAUUGCUAUAAAACUAUUACCUUGAGCUCCUUCUCAUUUGUUAAAUAUUCAAAAACAUACUUAUAUAGAUAUAUAAUUAUUAUCUUCACCCGAUUGCGAUAGAUUUUAGUUUGUAAUUUCUCUUUAACAUUUUCAUCCAUAUUUAUAAUCUUUAAUUUUUCACUUUGCAUUGCAAAUAUGCGCUUGAAUUUGUUUAAUGGAACCUAAGUUUGAGCUAACAUUUUAACAUAAAAAUUUAUAUUCCCAUCACUUUAAUUCUCUAUAUCUUUAUAAAUGGUGAAAGACAUCUUGCCUAUAUACCUUAAUUAUUAUAUGAUAUACCUAUAGUGUAAGAAAUAGAUGAUUUAGAAUCAUAUAUUGGUGUAUAUUUUGAAUUAAGGUUAUUUGGAUUCAAAUGUAGGGUUACCUCAUGUUAUUUUUAAUAAUAGCAUAUAUGGGUAAUAUAGAUGCAAAUUUAAAGGGUCAUGUUAAGUUAUUUUUUAAGUAUUAGUGGUGGGCAAUUAGUUGGUAAUUUAGGAGGUUAUUUUAAAUAUUAUUUAUAAUGGUACAUGUGGGUAAUUUUGAUAAAUAUUAGGGGUUAGUUUAGUUUAGUUUAUAUAAUAGCAUAUGGGUAAUUUAGAUGUAGAUUUAGGGGUUACUUUAGGCUAUUUUCAUAAUGGCAUAGGUGGAUAAUUUUUUUUAGAAAAACAUAAUAGAUCUAAUGGCUAUGAUGAGUUGAGUCUACAGAUUGAUGGCCAGAUGUUUUGCUUUUUUAUGAGAAUUUCUACGAUAAGAAAUGCAGCGGUGGUCCUCUCUAUAAAAUUUGCAUGGGUCUUAAAGCAGACAAACUUAUUAAUUAAAUAUUUUUUAGUUAUCUUUAUUCUGGGUCUCUUCUAGGCCAGCCCAGUCCAUGUCCAGAUGAGUCUGUUUCCUCCCGAUCCGUUUUAGUCCCUCUGAACGGCGGCUCAUGUUCCUCGCGAAAAGAACGGAGCAACGAUGGCUUGCGGCGGCGCUCCAUGGCAGUGGCACAUCAUAAAGGCGGUGGAAGCAUCCAACAUGUGGUUGGACUGAAACAUUUUCAUGAUUAUUCCUUCUGUGAAGUUAGUCACCUUGCAAUGUGCAAGCUAGAAACAAUAUCAUUGCAAGCAUAAUAAGGUACAACAUCUGCAAUGUUUCUCAUGAAUGUGUGGAAUGGCCUCCGGACACGACGUCCGCAAAACGGUCAGGAAUAAUGAACCAAGUAGCAAUUAAUGUGCAGGCGCCGUAUGUAGAGCAGGUUGGGAUUUGGGAAGUCCGGUGUCACUGCAGUCCACCUCGUCCGGUAGCACGAUUACACCUGCCUGACGAGGAGAUGGUACCGCUACAUGUGCUAAGGACGUCGAGUUGUCGAGGUCCCAGCUAGACGCGCGACUCUCUCUUGGUGCAGCCGUUUCCCUCUCCGGGCAGUGGCGAUCUCACUCACCGGCGCAGCUCCGUGCAGCCGCUACAUGUGCACCUCCAUUAUUGAUUAUGUCGGCCACUGAUAUUCUCUUUAUCCAAUCCAAUCAAAUCCAAUCGUAUUGGCUGGGUAGGAGUGGGCGAGGCGAGGCAAGGCCCAAGAUUAUCCCACUGCUAAAAAAAUUAAGAAAUAAACUAAUCUUGUUGCUUUGAAACGCGUGCUAAUUUUUAGAAAGGGACCACCAGAGCAUUUCUCUUCUAUGAUUUCUCUCUUUUUCUAAGUGUCCACUUAGGAUUCUAGGUAGUUUCACCUGAAGGCUUCAGAAGGAGUCUCUAAUUAGUAAUAUUUACUGAAUUUCAUAAGGCCCCGUUUGGAUCAUUGGAAUUGAAUUCCAUCAUAAUAAUCAUAAUUUAGACACAAAUUAAUUAAGCUAAUAUAAUUGUAUGUGAAAUAUAGUUGUAUAUUAUAGUUGGUGAUAUGGGAGAGAUACUUAUGUGCUGCACUUCUACCAUAGAGAAGCGAGUCUAAGAGCGUGCUAUAAGAAUUGAAUUCCAUUCUAAUAACCAUAAUCUAUAGAAUCAAUUUCCAUCUCCCACCCCAUGAAUUUAAGAUAAGCUUAUAUAUAAACUUUGGAAAGUUGUGGAAUGCCACAUUCCAACAUAAAUUAGCCUACUCCAUUAAAUAGAUUCCAAUUCCUUCAUACCAAACGGGGCCUAAGUGAUUUUCAAAGAGAGUUUUUUUUUGACAGCACUCCAAGUCUCCAACUUGAUAUCAACUGAAACUGAAAGCCGGCCAAGGUGCUGGUUGUAUCUGAGUACCACUAUCCAGAAUCUCCACUUGUAUUGGCGGUGGCCAUGGAUGCUUCAGAAGCUCACCAUCUCUACUUGGCUGAAUGGCGUCCACAAUAUUGGCCUUAGAUCAUCUGCACUGUGCAAUGCAUGUUACCGGCAUUACCCUGAACACCUUGAGGGCAUUGUAGACACCAGUGCCAAUACACAGCAGAAACAUGUCAUCUGUUAGAGCCGGGCUCUCGCUGGUGAUUUGGAAGUCGCAGACGUUGUUGCUGUUGAUUGUGGUGAACAAAGUUAGGGUGGUGGCUAGAGCACUCGCGGUCGGUGGAACACAAGCAUUGUGGAUAUGACUGGGCAUUGAACAUCUGGUGGGCGUCACGGAUUAGCACUCCGUAGUGGUGAUAGAGAUGGCUAGGGUGGCAUCCUGGUCAGAGUAGAGGUGGAUGUAGAGGGAAGUGCCGAGGAUGCGGUCUUGGACACCAGAAUGCAGGUGUCAUGGUAAAGGGAAGUCUUUGGACACCUUGUGGGCGCCAUCUCUAGAACCUCGGUGGCCCUGACAGAACGAUGCGGAAAGCUGUUGGUUAUGCCGAGGUCAUGGCUGUAGGCACUUGAAAGCAGGUGGCCUGGUUAGGACCCGCCAUCGAACACCUGGUGGGCGCCACUGGUUGAAGCUCCGUGGCCGUGAUGAGAAUGACAACAGAGGCAUCCCGUGGUGGAAAGGAGGUCAGUGAAGGGGGGUUGAAGAUGCCGGUGGCUCAGCACGGUGGCACAACUGAGCAUUCCUUUCCUCGAUCUUCCGAUUCAUGUCAUCACACUUCUGAUCUAGUUCCUCGAGCUUGGCCAGUAUCACAGCACACAUCUCCUCCGUCAUGUUCACUCGUAUUCCGAUGCAGUGGUAGUGGUGGUUUUUGAUCGAAAUAGCUGUGAACCAAAUGUCACACCCUAGAUGCAACUCACAGAACAAAUUAUCUCCCAACAAUGAACUACGGAAUAUAUAUGGAGUAUACUAGAAUUUGGAUACACAUGGAUGAGGAACUCGCUAGUGUUCUCGAGUCGAAGCUUGCCGCCGCAGAGCCAAUGAGUCCCAAAUCCAGUUCUUCUUUCCCUCAUGACGACUAUUUUAUCCUCUUACAUGCUGCGCCAGCUAUGCUGCAGCGAUACCCGUUCAUGGGCCUAUCUUAACUACCUUAGCCAUCGGGCCCAACAAGAAUAACGUUGGGCUUCCGAACCUGAUGGCCCACAACUUCAGCUUUACUUCACUUAAGAUAGUUGCUAGUUAGUACUCCCUCCGUCCCAAAUUAUAGGUCGUUUUGACUUUAUUAGAUUCAUAGACUUUGUUAUGCACUUAGAUAUCUAGAUGCAUAAUAAUAUCUAUGUAUCUAGAAAAGUCAAAACGAUCUAUAAUUUGGAACGGAGGGAGUACAUGUCUUAUCUACAACCCUGCAUUAGCUAUCUCACUCUAGUUUGGCUAGCUGUCAGGACAGUCUGCUUACUCGAAGCUUGAGGCAUGUUUCUUUAAUAUAGUUUUCUUUUUCUUCUUGGAUAUUUAUAGCACAUAAUUGAUCCUGUGAAGUACUGCUAUAGAGAGGAAGACUAGUUCUUCUUAUUUAACAUCUCUUUGUGUUCUGCAUAUGCAUGAAAAGAAGGGCAUAGCUAGGUGAAAUGUUCUUUUGUUGGCUGUAUAAGACUUCAUUUUUUUAAUUUAUUUUUUUUAAACUUUUAGAUCAAUCGUUUGAAUUCUCUUCAAUAUUUUCUUGCUUCAUGUUCUCUUUGUUUUUGUGCAACAGUAUGAUAUUGGAAUAGGAAUGCUGCAAGACAAUCCAAAUAGAAGGUUAGUUUCAUCAUAUUUAUAUGGUUAAAAUUACUUCAAAAUUAUAUGGUUAAAGUUACUAUGUAAUGGUUGACUGUCACUGUUGUUUGCAUUGGCAGAUCAUGGAUGGAAUUCCUGCAAGAGCCAAGCACAAACUGUAUUCAGCGCUUCUCUGUUGAUGUUUCGUUUCUCGUUGCCGCCUUUCUUGCAGACCGGUUAGGGUUAGGUUACACCAUCUGCUUCAGGUGAUUUCGGGAAUGUGGAAUGUCUCCUCUUCAUUUGAGAAGAGAGAAAGAGUGUUUUGUUGGAAUAUUACUGGUGCGUAUGUUUAUGCAUGGCUUUUCAGGCUCAAAUCAAGGGGAAAAAAUAGACUAAUGGGCUGGUAAAUUUAUGUUCUGGUGGAUUUUCUCUAUGGCUUUAUUUAGUUCCAAGAAUCCUGGUGAACUCCGAAACUUAAAAUGAAAUCCUAAAAUUGUUUCUCUAACCUCCUAAAAUGGGCUGUUCUUUUUUUCUGGUCAACUAUUUCCCCCAACUUCCGGAACUUAAAAUGAAAUCCUAAAAUUUCUCGGCCUCUCUUGUUUCAGGUCAUCAGGCCCAACCGAGGCCUCUUCUCUCCUUUCGUCAUUCGGUCCCUCUAAUUUUGCUCUUCUGCUUGCGCACCAGGCGUCAUCGCUCACCGCGCCAGGAGCUUUUGCAGCGCCAGACGGCCCUGCUCUACACCACAGUAUUCUUCCUUGGAACCUGCGGGCUCCGGUGAGCCGCUUUGGGAUCUCCUAUUCGCGACUCUGGGUACCUCGCCGGGUUACAGUUGCCUUCAUUGUACUUCGUCAUUGCUCUCUAACUAGGUACUCGAUUAUGAACAGCGCGCCGGCUCAGUGAGUACUCGGUGAAGGCGAGCGCAACGAGCCCCAACACAUGUCAUCCGUCGAAAACUACAUAAUUUCCAGAGUAUGGAAUUUUCAGCGCGCGGUGUGACCAACACUAUCUUUAUAUGAUUAUAGCUGCAAACCAAGUUUUUAAGUAACAAAGCAAAUAAAACAGUCUCGUGUCAUUGCUCUAAAGGGGAGAAAGGAAGAACAGAAACAACGAUGUGCCAUUCCCCAGAAACAAAGAAACAACUGUAAAAAGUGGUUCUAGAUGAAGCUAAAUUGACCAUCGAUGGCGAUUGUGUCGACACGGCAAACAUCCAGACAGCUAGCAUUGACUGACUUGGCCUGUUGAGUACUCGAGGGAACUCGAUAGGUCUUAUGACAAGCCUCGAUUGACUCGAAUUAUUGACCUUCACUGUCCUUCGUCAUUGCUUUCUAACCUAGGUACUCGGUUAUGAACAGCGCGCCGGCUUGGGUACUCGGUGAAGGCGAGCGCAACGAGCCCCAGCACAUGGCAUCCAUGGAAAACUACAGAAUUUUCAGAGUAUGGAAUUUUCAGCGUGCGGUGUGGCCAACACUAUCUUUAUAUGAUUAUAUCUGCAAACCGAUUUUUUAAGUAACAAUGUCAAUAAAACACUCUCGUGUCAUUGCUCUAAAGGAGGAGAAAGGAAUAACAGAAACAACGCCGUGGCAUUCCCCAGAAGCAAAGAACAACGGGAAAACCACACCAUGAGAGAUGUCGUCUUGAACACUCUUGAUUGUGUUGACACGGCAAACAUCCAGACAGCUAGCAUUGACUGACUUGGCUGAUACAUCCACUUCACUGUUGAGUACUCCAGGGAACUCAAUAGGUCUUAUGACAAGUCUCGAUUGACUCGAGUUAUUCACUCAUACCUUGAUUUUUUCCUCCCCUUUCCUGUUGUCGUUCGGUCCAGAUGCCCAUUACCCAGUGCCUGUCAGUGUGUGCUUCUCCCUCCGAUUGCCCAUUACCUAACAAAUUGUAGUUUGCACCGUAAUUCCCUUAAAUCUGCUCCAACCAAGCACCACCUCUCAUGCAAGUCAACAUAUAUGGCAUUUGGUAUCAAUUCUGUAAAUACAAUUUCAAUCAUUCGCUGGUUAUAUUUUUAAAUGAAUUUAAUAUAAAUUUUGAUUAUCUAUUGCUUCUAAAUUCCUGUCGAAAUUAAUUUGAUAUUUUAUUAACCUAUAAUAUCCUAUACUUCAUUUUAUGAGGAAUCUAUCAGAAAAUGAAUUGUAAUUUUUAUGGCUCAUAUCUAUUUGCUCUCUUUAUUAGAUAUUUUUCUUUCCAGUUGUAUGUAAAUCAAACUUUUAUUUUAUUUUUAUCAUUCGGAGUUUUAGUUUUUUAUUACUUCCAUGUCAAGAUAAUAUUUUGAACAAGAUUCCAAUCAACCUUUUGAAAAUCUAACCACUAUAGACAGCUUUUAGAAUAUUCAGUUUGAAAAUUUAGAAUACUCAUUGAAAGACAUAAUAUAAUAUUUUGUAUGUUUAUAUAAUAUCUUCUUACUGAAAAUAGUGGCCACACAGCUAUGUUAUCCAAAACACCUUCUUUUCUUUAAGAACAGGGGAACGAUUGUUUCUUUUUCUAUUUUAUUAAUAUGAUAUUUUUAUAGUCAAUACGGAGACUUGUUUUCUCUUAGCUUUGCCUUAUUAAAAUAACAAUUGAAGAUUCCGUAACUAUGGUUGGGGGCAGAUAUUACUUCCAUGCGAGUUUAUAUUUUGGCCCCUGUUCGCUGGUCUUCCUCUCGAGUCAGCGGCCGGAAUGUGUGGUUCAGAGCAACCAGAGAACAGAAUAUCUACACACGAUUGAUUGGAAUUUGGAAACUGCAAACCAGUAGCGCAAUGGCUCCUGCCAAGGAUCGCCUCCACAACCUUCUGGUCCUGCUCUUGUUCAUAGGUUGCCUCUUCGUAGAUGCUGCCGCCAAGCUUAACACCACAGCGCCUUGCCUCCCGGAUCAAGCUUCUUCCCUCCUCCGGCUAAAAGCUUCCUUCAUCGGUGACAACCUACCAUCAUGGCAAGCUGCAACAGAUUGUUGCCACUGGGAGGGCGUCACCUGCGACAUGGCCUUUGGAAGAGUCAUUUCUCUUGACCUCAGUGAGUUCCAACUAAUGAGCAGGCGUCUUGAUCCUGCGCUCUUCAACCUCACCUCUCUCAGGUACCUCAGCCUUGCAUUUGUUGACUUCAGUGGAGUCUCGCUCCCGGCAUCUGGGUUUGAGCGGCUCACAGAUAUCAUUAACCUCGACCUCUCUUAUACCCGUUUUACGGGUAAGAUCCCAAUUGGAAUUGCGUGCCUCAAGAACCUUGUGAUCAUUCACUUGCUUGAUAAUUACGAAUUGUAUUUUGAACGGCCAAGUUUCCAAACCAUCAUGGCAAAUAUGAGCAAUCUGAGGGAGCUUUAUCUUGAUGGAGUGGAUUUACAUAACAUCGGAUCGGAUUGGUCCACUGUUUUAGCAGACUCCGUUCCCCAGCUACAGAUUCUUAGCUUGUCCGGGUGUCGUAUAUCAGGUUCUAUCCACCCUUCAUUCUCAAGUUUGAGGACGCUUGAUUUGUCCUGGAACCCCAUGCUUUCUGUGAGAUUAACAUAUUUCCCAGCUGGAAACAAUUUGGAAGUACUAAAUCUAGAAGGGACCAAUUUCUCUUAUGACACCCCAUCCUCGUUUGCCAAUCUUGAGUCUUUAAAGACAUUGAGGCUUAGCACGAUGGGAAUUGAUAAUGAACUCGCCUCUUUGAUAUCUGAGCUUCCAGCAUUGGAUGACCUGCGACUCAUUGGAUCAAAUUUGGAGAAACCGGUAUUAUCUUGGGUCAGCAAUCUUACCCAAUUGACAGUCCUGCGGCUUUAUGGUUAUGACUUCUCUAAAUCGGUUCCCACUUGGAUCGGCAAAUUGACAAGGCUGGAAAGUUUGAUGAUAUGGUAUUGCAGUUUCUCCGUGCCAAUACCAUACCAGAUUAGAAAUCUUACUAAAUUGGCAGCGCUGGACUUCUCAAGAUGCGACUUCGAGCAAAGAAUGCCAUCAUGGAUAGGCAAUCUUACAGAGUUGACUUCUUUGACCAUUGAUGAUUGCAGUUUAUCUGGGCCAAUACCCUCAACAAUUGGGAACCUGAUCCAACUUGAAUACUUGGAGUUCUGCGAUACUAACAUCAGCGGUGAGACUAUGUCCCAGUUACUUUCUUGAAUACCUCCUUUUAUUUUGCAACUGUAGACAGAUCAUACACCUACUGUAUGACACGCCAUGCAUACACCGUUAAAAAAAUAAUAAUGAAUUUAAGUGAAGAAGAAAAUUUAACACUACCAAAUCAACAGAGUGACCUUCAGAAAACAAGAAAAAGGCUUUGGCUAGUAAUUUUCGGCAAUGUUGAGAAAAGAAAAACCCUGAUAUUUUCACUUUGAGUCUAUGACCAAAUUUCCAUAGUUUAGUAGUUUGGAAGGUUAGAUGCCUUUAACACUAGUACACACGAGUCACGACUCAGGUCUUCUUUUCCUUCUUUUUUUCUCUCUUGACAUGAUACAUUCAGAUACCAUAAUACAGUAUUGGUCCAUUUACAAAUAUACCAAGGAAUAUUAAUUUUUUGGGACAGGCCUUUUUAUUAUUUUG
rnacentral:lncRNA from 1 species